rnacentral:rRNA from 1 species
AUGGCUUUGCUUACCAUGCUUGUGUCAUGGACCAUAUGGAACGAAAGAAACACGUGGGUCUUCCGCAACAAAAGCGUGCCACCAACCAUUUUGCUCAACAUCAUCAUGACGGAGGCAAAUCUUUGGUUCACCGCCGGGGUGAAAAAUCUUGGGUCACUUAUGUCGCGAGAGUAA